UACGGAGGGGGCUAGCGUUGUUCGGAAUUACUGGGCGUAAAGCGCGCGUAGGCGGAUCUGCAAGUCGGGGGGUGAAAUCCCGAGGCUCAACCUCGGAACUGCCUUCGAUACUGCGGGUCUCGAGUCCGGGAGAGGUGAGUGGAAUUCCUAGUGUAGAGGUGAAAUUCGUAGAUAUUAGGAAGAACACCAGUGGCGAAGGGCGGGCUCACUGGCCCCGGGUA
rnacentral:rRNA from 1 species